UACGGGGGGAGCAAGCGUUGUUCGGAUUUACUGGGCGUAAAGGGCGCGUAGGCGGUCAGCACAAGUCAGUUGUGAAAUCUCCGGGCUUAACUCGGAAAGGUCAACUGAUACUGUGCGACUAGAGUGCGGAAGGGGCAACUGGAAUUCUCGGUGUAGCGGUGAAAUGCGUAGAGAUGUGGAGGAACACCGAUGGCGAAGGCAGCCUUCUGGGCCAACACUGACGCUCAUGCACGAAAGCGUGGGGAGCAAACAGG
rnacentral:rRNA from 1 species